rnacentral:rRNA from 1 species
UCGGGAAUUUUGGGCAAUGGGCGAAAGCCUGACCCAGCAACGCCGCGUGAAGGAUGAAGUAUUUCGGUAUGUAAACUUCGAAAGAAUAGGAAGAAUAAAUGACGGUACUAUUUAUAAGGUCCGGCUAACUACGUGCCAGCAGCCGCGGUAAUACGUAGGGACCAAGCGUUGUUCGGAUUUACUGGGCGUAAAGGGCGCGUAGGCGGCAUGACAAGUCACUUGUGAAAUCUCUGGGCUUAACCCAGAACGGCCAAGUGAUACUGUCGCGCUAGAGUGCAGAAGGGGCAAUCGGAAUUCUUGGUGUAGCGGUGAAAUGCGUAGAUAUCAAGAGGAACACCUGAGGUGAAGACGGGUUGCUGGGCUGACACUGACGCUGAGGCGCGAAAGCCAGGGGAGCAAACAGGAUUAGAUACCCCCGUAGUCCCUGAGCGGGCUGGCAAGGCGCAU